GUACUGUCUAUCUCAUUAGGCUGAUAUGAGAAUUAAAUGAAAAAACGUAAUUGCUAACAUAGUUUCUGGCCCACUCUUUAAGGUCAAAUUGUUAACAUUAAGCAUUAAAUAUCUGCUAAAUGCCUUCUGAUAAGGACAAUGCAGUAAACUAUGAUCAUUACAGUGAAAACAUAACUCAUUGCCAUUAGUGAAGC